rnacentral:rRNA from 1 species
UGGGGAAUCUUGCGCAAUGGGCGAAAGCCUGACGCAGCGACGCCGCGUGGGCGACGAAGGCCUUCGGGUUGUAAAGCCCUGUGGGGCGGGACGAACACAUUCACGGUGAACAAUCGUGGAUGCUGACGGUACCGCCUUAGCAAGCACCGGCUAACUCUGUGCCAGCAGCCGCGGUAAGACAGAGGGUGCAAACGUUGCUCGGAAUUACUGGGCGUAAAGCGCGUGUAGGCGGUGCCGCACGUCGGGUGUGAAAGCCCAGGGCUCAACCCUGGAAGUGCACUCGAUACGACGGCGCUGGAGUCCUGAAGAGGAGAGCGGAAUUCCCGGUGUAGAGGUGAAAUUCGUAGAUAUCGGGAGGAACACCAGUGGCGAAGGCGGCUCUCUGGACAGGUACUGACGCUGAGACGCGAAAGCGUGGGUAGCAAACAGGAUUAGAUACCCUGGUAGUCCACGCCGUAAACGAUGAGUGCUGGGUGUCGCGGGUAUU